rnacentral:misc_RNA from 1 species
UGGUUCUGGCAUCGAUGAAGAACGCAGCGAAAUGCGAUAAGUAAUGUGAAUUGCAGAAUUCAGUGAAUCAUCGAAUCUUUGAACGCACAUUGCGCCCAUUAGUAUUCUAGUGGGCAUGCCUGUUCGAGCGUCAUUUCAACCCUCAAGCCCCCGUUGCUUGGUGUUGGGAGCCUACUGGGUUACCUGUAGCUCCCUAAAGUUAGUGGCGGAGUCGGUUCGCACUCUAGACGUAGUAGAUUUUCACCUCGCCUGUAGUGCCGGACCGGUCCCCUGCCGUAAAACACCCCUUAUCUCCAAAGGUUGACCUCGGAUCAGGUAGGAAUACCCGCUGA